CUCUUAUCCAGAGAGGUGGAGGGACCGGCCCUGAGAAACCUCGGCAACCCCCAUGCGGGAUUUAUCCCGGUGGAAGGUGCCAAUUCCGGCAGAAGGAUGUUCUGGAAGAUGAGAG
rnacentral:ncRNA from 2 species